rnacentral:lncRNA from 1 species
UGGUGAUGGGGAAGUUCUGUGGAGCUGUGACCAGUGUGGAGGAACUGUGGUCUCUGCCAGGAGGAUUGUAACUGAAAGCACAUGAGCACAGAGAUUCUCUCUCUCUCUCUCUCUCUCUCUCUCUCUCUCUCUCUCUCUCUCUCUCUCUCUCUCUCUCUCUCUGUGUCUGUCUUUCUUGUUUGUAAUACUACAUAAUAGCUCAUGACAGCAAUCACAUUACUGCUGAGACAUAUCUCCAUCUCCAUUUUGUUCUUCUUCAAUGAACAAAAUGGUGGUAGUGAAUGUUAUUUAAAAAAAAAAAAACCUAAAAACAUUUUAAAGCCAAGAGUGAUAUUGUUAUUUCCAGUACUUGAGUGGUAUAGGCAGAAAGAUGAGGAAUUCAAGAUCCUCCUUAGGUACAUAGUGAGUUUGGGCUAGCCUGAGGUAUCUGAGAAAAAGAAAAGAAAAACCAUCUGCUGACAGCUGAACUUCAGAAAGGGAAGACCUUUCUUUUCCAGAUGUGAGUUGUAGAUUCUGGCUCCCUCCACUCACUUUCCAGGCUCUAGGAGCCAAACGGGAUUCAUGCUUCUGCCUGAGUUCUGCAGUGCAUUCUUCAGUAGGUCUUCAGCACUGAUGGCUCAGGUGACAGCUCUGGUCUGGGAGUCGCUGGCCUUCUAGUUUUUUGGGGCUCUGUUUACAAUGAGAAGGCUUAGUCAGUCAUAUCUUCUAGAUAAGUCUCUAGGAAAUCAUUUGGUUCCACUCAAGGACUCAAGGGAAUGGCAGAGCAAAAGAAACAGUUUAUCAGGUUACAGAAAGAUAGCUUAUUCCUAUGACUGAAAUGGUGUGUCUCCUACCAGGGCACCUAUUUACUAAUUAUUAGAAAUCAUAUUAGGAAUUGCAUGUAUAUUUCUUCAGUUUGAAUGGGAGCAAAGGGAAUUUGAUUCAGCACUUUAAUCCGGGCCGUGUGAGUUCUGGGGAGUUGGGUCUGGCUCGUCACCAGGCUCUUUAUUUGAAGAACACUUCCACCUUUGUUGUAGGUUCAGUCUUUUCCUGUAGGUGGUAGUGAGGAUAUAUUGAUAGAGUUUUAUCAUUUUCUUCCUGAGAGUGUCUCUCUCAGAGUAGAUUCUAUUCAUUACUCCCCUCAACAUAUAGCCCUAAACUACUUUUCAUACUAUUUUCUUGUUUAUGUCAAGGAAUUUAUUUUCUUCCUCCUUUUUCUUCUUCUCCUGGUCUUCUUCCUUCUUCUCCUCUACCUGUUCUUCGUUUCCUUCUUUUUCAUCAUCUUUCUUCUCCUCCUCAUCCCCAAUCCCACUUCUAAUCCCAAUGCUGAAAAUUGAGUCUAGACCUUAGUCUACUCGAGGCAAAUGUCUACACAAAGCUACACCCCAGCUGAGAAUGUUCUCUAAUUACUGUCCAGCAAGAGUAGUUUCUUUUGCGAAAGUUCACAUCGCUAGUGAGUUGUAGUUCAUUCUCAGUGUGAGUUUCAGUCCACCCACACUGAGGCAGAGAGGACAGUAUUUCUUAAGCCCAUCUGCGGGUGACAGGGAGUUUUAAUAGGAGGAAUGCUUGUAACACUGAAUUUCUACUUGAUGCAAAUUCAUUCUAGGUGCAAACUUUUCCUGUCAUUCUUUCUUCGGUUAAUUAUAAAUAUCAAUAGGCAAACUUCCCUGUCCCUCUGUCAGCACUGUUCACUCUGGGCCAUAUCCGUUAUCACUCAUUUUUAAGCAUGAAGGUUGGUAUUUGCAGGGCAAUCAUCCUCUAUGAUGUAGCUUUGGUUUAUUAAUAUUCCCUAGACAUGGUUCUGAGAUAAUUUAAUGCCCUUUAAGGACAGAGAUGGGGAGAGGAAGGAGGGGAGAAUAGAGAGCCAAGGAGAGAGAGGAAUUAGUACUGCAGAAAAGGAAAGAAACCAAGCACCAUUGGAGCCUCAUUUGGGUGGAGGUGGGGCCCAUGGAGAGCACUGGACAGUAACGUACACAAUGGGCUGAGUUCAGUUCUGGCACUGAAACAGUCGCAAUACUGCAAUCUCUCCCUCACUGGAGUGUGGUAGCAAAAAUCACAGACUAAAGUUUUAUAUACUUAUAAAGUUUCCUAUACAUGUAAGAGGAAUUUAAGAGCAAGAGGCCAUGCUUCCUAUGGAAGACAUGGGAGUGGCUGGAGAGAUGAGAGAGUGAAAUAUGCUAAUGUUCUAGUUAAAAACAAACGGGUCAUAGUGUAAUGAAUAAUGUCAUGUGCAUCCAGGUAGAGUUCUCAUGACCCCCAGAGGUUAAAUGACAGAGAAAUCUCACAGCCAUAAUGGAGUGUGGCAUCCAACAAAGUGUGUGUGUUUUCCAAUAAAGCCUUGUGGUUGCCUGUCCACAAGUGUUUUGUUUUACUGAACAUCAACAAAUAGCAAACC